rnacentral:rRNA from 1 species
UACGUAGGGACCAAGCGUUGUUCGGAUUUACUGGGCGUAAAGGGCGCGUAGGCGGCGUGUUAAGUCAGCUGUGAAAUCUCCAAGCUUAACUUGGAACGGUCAGCUGAUACUGAUGUGCUAGAGUGCAGAAGGGGCAAUCGGAAUUCUUGGUGUAGCGGUGAAAUGCGUAGAUAUCAAGAGGAACACCUGAGGUGAAGACGGGUUGCUGGGCUGACACUGACGCUGAAGUGCGAAAGCUAGGGGAGCGAACGGG